rnacentral:tmRNA from 1 species
GGGGAUGUAACUUAUUCGACGGCAAGUGAAAUAAUAUAUUGCAAGUUGAGAGUGAUCUCAUUAAACAUCUCCUGCAAUAAGUGCAAAAAACUUCAUUGCUAAAGCCAAGGAUCUUUUCAAGGUCCCGCAGCUUUACCCAGUUGUAGCUUAAAAAUGCUACGACCGUCUCCCUUUGAUAGCCUAGGAUCAAUUUGAGACGUCAUUCACUAGGCUAGAAAUAUCCAUUGUUGGGCUGGAUAUUUCAAAACCAUCACCAACUUGGCCGAUGAUUUUUUGUUAAUUUUAUAGUCUUCGGCUGAAACACAAAAUUGACUAAACUUGUAGAGCUGUAUUAGGCAAUUUGUCAGACAGGGGUGUAAUACCCCUCAUCUCCACCA